UCAGCCCCGAGACAUCCAAGGACAGUCGGCCACAACAGGACGCACCACAUCACGCGCAGCAUGCGCUCCACCCCCAUAUCUGCAGAAUCAGGGUGAGGCCGCUGCAACCGUCACGGCACAAAACAGUCUCGGGUCUGACAGACUCAGUCCCAUAUCCACAAGAACAAGAGUUUGAAACAUCCUCAAUCUCCCAAUGAUUGAGGGGCUUAAUCCAAGAGCAGACGCCGAUGCAGUGAUGUCUUCAGAGCCUGGACACCAGAGGAGAUGCGCUGAGUUUCCAGUGACCAGGGGAUCCACUGGACUCCCUCUUCACUUAUCCCAGAGACUGCAGAGAGGAUGAGGCAUGGCUUGUGGCAGAGACGGAGGCGACUCCAGAUUCAGAGGCCUGCCAAUUUAAAAUGGAUGGCGGACAGCAAAUGCCCCCCGUGCCGUAGUUUAGCCCCCCCUGUGCUGGAGCAACAACAUACAGGUCUGAAUCAGCAUUGCACCUAUCAUCCACAGAGGGGUGGAGCAGUUGCAAGAGAAAAUGGAACAAUUAAAAACAAACUGGUCAAAUGCUGUGAUGACACAGAACUCUCAUGGAUUAAAGCCCUAGCGGUUGUGUUAAUAACCAUAAGAGAGAGGGGAAGGGCCAGAACAGUUCUGUCCACAUUUGAAAUUCUUCCAGGCAGACCUAUGAAUACCUGGAUGUCCCUCCCCCAAGAAAAUCAAGUCCCCAACUCAGAAAUCCCAGAAGAUGUGAAGCUUAGUUAAUGUGUGCACAUAACCAAAAUGUUGAGCCUCAUACACCCAGGUAAAUGCAGCAAUCCCGCAACCAGCAGAGGGCCAGUUACAUAACCUGAGACCAGGAGACUGGGUGCUGAUAAAAGACCUAAAGAGGAGGCACUGGAGGAAAUCCAGAUGGACUGGACCCCAUUGAGUGCUCCUCACACAACCUACAGUGGUUAAUGUGAAAGAAAGCACCACCGGGAGAAGAAAAUACACAGGCAAGUGUCGGCCUACUUUGAAAUAAAUUAAACACAGAACUCUGUAGGGCUAUUUGAGUCCUCCCCAUAUUUGUGGGAAAUGUAUGAAAUAAGAAGUAGCCUAUUUUGAAAUAAAUAAAAACAUAUAGCUGCAGCCUAAUAGCUUGAAAGUAUAUAUUUUAGUUGGCGAAAUGUGAAAACAAAAAGCAAGAGCAGGUCAGACUGGAGGCGGACACAGAUACUGAAGCUCAGUAGAAACCACCAGCAGCAUCUGCUCUGAUCAAGAAGCUGCAGCGCUGAUCUCUGAGCAGAUGAGACCAGAGAAACUCUGUGUUUUCACUGUUUCCACUGAUAAGAAGCAGCCGGUGAGUCAGUGAGCGGCUGCUUCACCUGAACGAGUUCUGGUCUCACUGUGUCUCUGAGCGAGUGAGCAGGGCGGGGGGCGAAG